GAGGGUACAGCUCAGUGGUAGAGCACCUGCUUAGCAGACAUAAGGUCCUGGGUUCAAUCCCUAGUACCUCCU
rnacentral:tRNA from 1 species